AGAGUCUCUCAAUAAAAGUUACCUGUUAGGGAAAGUCUAUUGACUACUUUGUCUCUACUCAUCCUGCUCUGUGGACAAAGCUGCAAUCUGGAUGCCUCAAGCUUAUUGUCUCCACAUGAUAUUCCAGCACCUCAUUUUUCUAGGAUCACAUCUGCUCCUUCAAACACUCCGUUAUGAACCACACUCCCAUUUUCCAUAUUGCUACUGCAAUUUCCACAGCCCCAGUGCCCCCUGUGAUUUAAUAAGUGAAGGCCUUUCUUUUACAAAUCUCUAGGAAAAGGUUUCCUCAAAUAGCUUACGAGUCCUGGUGCAGACCUGCCUCUGCCCUAGCAAGUGGCAGAGGCUGCAGCGCCUUUCCCGUUCCUGAGGCGGCAGUAUUCUUGCCUCCCUGUCUUACUCCGUUGUGGGAGCAGGAACAGAAAAGUUCUCUUCAGCAGAGCAUGGAAUAGCCUCCUUUGGGAACGGAUGGAAAGUGAGAUUAAGCAGAAGAAAGAGAAGAGGAAAAAGGAGGCAAUGGGGUGACCAGAUCUGCACACAGAAUUCAAGAUGUGGACAUACCAUGGAUUUAUAUAGAGCCAUCACUUGUUCUUGAUGCUCGUAAUCUUACGGCAAGCGCACAGAGAAAAGCACCACAGUCAAAAUGAGGCAUAGACUCCAUACAGGAUCAGGUGCUUCAGAGGAACACUACAGUAGGCAGACAUGGGAUAAUCUGACAUCAUGAAGGUCUCAUCCUAAACUACAGUACAGAUUGGUUUCAACCCUGAAGUAUGAAGUUUUUUCUCCUUUCCACAAUUAUUUGUUAGCAUGAACUAUAACAGUUCUGGCUAUUGUCAUUAUCUGUAUAAAUGUCCUAUACCUCUUUCAAUCUCACUGCAUUCUUGGUUUCAACAUUAUCAUGUUGCAAUAUGUUCCACAGUCUAAUUAUGUGUUGUCUGAAAAAGUAUCUCUCUAUCAGUUUUGAAUUUAUCACACUUUAUUUUCAUGUAACAUCCCUUGGCUAAUUACACAGGGAGAACAGAACCUACUCUCUACCUUCGUUAGGCCAUUUAUUAUUCUAUAUAUUUUUAUCAUGCCCCCUCUUGCUCAUCUUUUCUUCGGUGAACAAUCCCAAUCUUUUCAAUCUCUCUUCAUAUCAGAGUCUUUUCAUACCUCUAAUCAUUUUCAGCUCCCUUUAAUUCUGCAGUGUCCUUUCUGAGAUGGGGUGACCAGUGCUGCACAUGAGGCAACACCAUUGCAUAUUCUAACACCGUGGGGGUUUUUUUUUUGUUUUACUUCAGUUGCACAUUGACCAGUGGUCUUUACUGAGUUGAGGUGAUACAGUCAACUUAGUACACUGCAAUAUGUAUGAGCAGUUUAAAUUUUUUCUUCCAAUCUGCAUUAUUUUACGUUUAUCAACACUGAACUUCAUCUACCAUAUUGUCCAUUCAUGUGAGUCCCUCUGAAGUUCUUCACAAUCUUCUCUGCACUGCAACUAGGUAAUUUUGUGUCUACACUAUCUACCACAACCUCUACCUUCAGAUACAAGAUCUCUGACUCCCCGUUAUAUGUUUUGUUAAAUAUGCCAGCCCAGAAGUCUCAAAACGUGUAUGUCUAAAUUUAGGCUCCUGAAUCUGUAUUUAGACAUCUACAUGAAGGUGGCCUGAUUGUCCAAGGUGCUUAGCAUCCGCGAAUUCCACUGAAGUCAAUGGGAGCUCCAAAUACUCUGACUCUGAAAAACCAAGACGCUUUUAUUUACAUGCCUAAAUACAGAUUCGGAUGCCUAAAUUUAGGCACUCCAGUUUAGAUAUUUUGUGUAAAAUUUUCAAAAGCAUCUCAGUGACAUGGGAUCCUAAAUCCUAUUUUCAAAAGCACCUCAGUUGCUUUUCAAAGUAUUACCUUUUAUCCUUAAGCUAUAAGAAAGUUGGAUCCCGGAAUGCAGAGAGAAGAAAUAACAUGAAGGCUACGGGGCUGUUAAAAAUUGUGUACCAAAGUGCUUUGAAAUGCGUUUGUGUUACUACAAUAUUUAAGAAAGUCAUAAUAUAAAGAAACCUAUAAUUGCUCCUUUCUCCCACCUGUUGUUGGUUUGAUCUACGGAGGAUGUAAGCUCUUCAGGGUAAGGAUUUUCUCUUCCUAUGUGAACGUACAGCACCUAGCAUAAAAGGGCCCCCAUGUAAUGUUGAUGAGGAAUCCUAGGUGUUACUGUUCGACAAAUAAAACAGUAAUCUUCAUGGUACUGAACUGAAUCUAAGACCUUGGCUAUCAACAUGACCGUAUGAGAACCGGAAUUUUACUCUUUUCAUAAAGACCUUAUGCUAACAUCACAUGCAAGGUAUUUUAAUACAGUAAGUGUCCUAUUUAUGGAGAGAUUUCUCGCUAACAAGUAGGUAAAAUUCUUAUUCUUUGUUCUCACUUUAAUUGAGCAAGACACACAAUAGAUACAUUUGUUUUGCUUAUUAGUUUGCAUUCAUGCAUACUCAUCUGAAUGUGGAAACAUGCUUCGUUUGAACUCUGUACCUCAAUAGACAAUUUUUCCCCUUGUAAUUUUUAAUACCUUUUUAUUCUAAAAUAAUCUCUGCAGAUUCCCAUGACUGCUAGCCAAAUCUUGCAUAACCCAUUGGAUGAAAAGCCCGUUUUAUGGGUCAAAGUGACUUAGUUCAAAUCUUUGAAGGGUUAUUUUUUAGAAGAAAUUCUUUGUAACGGGCCCCAUGACUUCUAUUCUUAGUGUCAAAAUUAAUCAUUAUUUUUUGGUACUUAGUUAGAGAGAUAAUCCACAUUUAGAAAAAAAACAUUUAAACAACUUUCAGUCUGAGCAGCAAAACAUAACAUACAGUAAAGAAAAAUUCAGUGCAAUAAUUUUUGCCUGUGUACUAAAUGGAAAGGAGCCAAAUGAGGACCAUAUAGUCAAACCUUUUUGAACUUUAUGGGAUGUUUAACCUUCAGUAUCUGGAUGCAAGCCUUCCCACUACAGUUUUGGUUCUGACUGGAUUGAUUUUUUGGUGACAACUCAUCUGACGGAGAUCUCAAACAGCUAGGACAAUGAAAACCUAUUCACAUGAAUGUAUCUCGGGGGGUUUUGCUAUUCAGGAUCAAAAUCUCAUGAGAUUGCUUCAUUAAAUUACAGUGCCUUCCAAUCCAGAUCAAACCUGAACCAUAGCCCACCUCACUGCAGCCAAAUUAAAAUAUUGCCCCGAGCAAAGCAUUCCUCUGUCAACCGCUGAACCUGCUAGUAUGACACAAGAACUUGAAAUGUGUGACAAAUGAGAUGUGGAACAUCUGCAGGGGUUCUGCAUGCCACCCUAUAUUAUAGAUUAUAUUUAAUUAUAAAACAUGUUUUCGAUUAGAUUUUCUUACUGUGUGAAUUAAAUAAACUAGUUCUAUCUUGUGGAACCAUAAACCCCAUCCCAAUACGGGUCAUCAACAAGGUCACAGACCUUAAACACAGGCGCCUACGCUUGA